rnacentral:rRNA from 1 species
UACGUAGGGUGCGAGCGUUGUCCGGAAUUAUUGGGCGUAAAGGGCUCGUAGGCGGUUUGUCGCGUCGGGAGUGAAAACCAUGGGCUUAACUCAUGGCUUGCUUUCGAUACGGGCAGACUAGAGGUAUGCAGGGGAGAACGGAAUUCCUGGUGUAGCGGUGAAAUGCGCAGAUAUCAGGAGGAACACCGGUGGCGAAGGCGGUUCUCUGGGCAUGAUCUGACGCUGAGGAGCGAAAGUGUGGGGAGCGGACAGG